CUUGGUGUGUGGUUGCAUGUUUGAUCUUUGUUUAGGCAGAGAAUGCAUGUUAUACACACCUCUUCAUUUAUUGGGUCAAGUUCGGCUUGGUCCUGCUAGGUUUCUUGUGCUGUAUACCUCUCAGAAGGUACUCGGUUGGUUAAAUGUUUGGCUUUCUUACACGCAUUGAAUCCUUUGGGGGAUUUGUUGCGUGUUAGACCACAAAGCAGCCAUAGUGUUCCACUCCCCAAGCGCCUUUUGAUUGUGUUUUGGGUUGUUGGCACAUUAUGUAUUGCUUGAUCGCUCGGAUAUGGAACAUUGAGUGGGUACGGGGCAUUAUUUGCUUCUAUUUACCCCAAAAUUAAGCGUUCUACGCUUGUUGCGGACGACUGUUGUUUUCGUUUUGGUUUUGGCCAUAUUGGCUUGAAUCAUGCGCUAGCAACGUCGGUGAGGAA
rnacentral:misc_RNA from 1 species